rnacentral:rRNA from 1 species
UACGUAGGGGGCAAGCGUUAUCCGGAUUUACUGGGUGUAAAGGGAGCGUAGGCGGCCAUGUAAGUCAGAAGUGAAAGCCCGGGGCUCAACCCCGGGACUGCUCUUGAGACUGUGUGGCUGGAGUGUCGGAGGGGUAAGUGGAAUUCCUAGUGUAGCGGUGAAAUGCGUAGAUAUUAGGAGGAACACCAGUGGCGAAGGCGGCUUACUGGACGAUCACUGACGCUGAGGCUCGAAAGCGUGGGGAGCAAACAGG